rnacentral:rRNA from 1 species
UACGUAGGGUGCAAGCGUUGUCCGGAAUUAUUGGGCGUAAAGGGCUCGUAGGCGGUCCAUCGCGUCGGGAGUGAAAAGCUGGGGCUUAACCCCAGUCCUGCUUCCGAUACGGGUGGACUAGAGGUAGGUAGGGGAGAACGGAAUUCCUGGUGUAGCGGUGAAAUGCGCAGAGUAUCAGGAGGAACACCGGUGGCGAAGGCGGUUCUCUGGGCCUUACCUGACGCUGAGGAGCGAAAGCAUGGGGAGCAAACAGG